UAAUACGGAGGAUGCGAGCGUUAUCCGGAUUUAUUGGGUUUAAAGGGUGCGCAGGCGGCGAGUUAAGUCAGCGGUAAAAUUUCGGGGCUCAACCCCGACGAGCCGUUGAAACUGGCUUGCUAGAGUGGGCGAGAAGUAUGCGGAAUGCGUGGUGUAGCGGUGAAAUGCAUAGAUAUCACGCAGAACUCCGAUUGCGAAGGCAGCAUACCGGCGCCCAACUGACGCUCAGGCACGAAAGCGUGGGUAUCGAACAGGAUUAGAUACCCUGGUAGUCCACGCAGUAAACGAUGAGCACUAAUUGUCCGGUCCGAGUGAGGGCUGGGUGAUACAGCGAAAGCGUUAAGUGCUCCACCUGGGGAGUACGCCGGCAACGGUG
rnacentral:rRNA from 1 species